CUCAGUUGCUCAGUCAUGUCCAAUUCUUUGUGACUCCAUAGACUGUAGCCUGCUAGGCACCUCUGUCUGUGGAAUUUUCCAGGCAAGAAUGACGGAGUGGUUUUCCAUUUCCUCCUCCAGGAGAUCUUCCUGACCCAGGGAUUGAAUCCACAUCUCGCGUUCUCCUGCAUUGGCUGGUGGAUUCUUUACCACUGAAUCACCUAGGAAACCCCUCCUUGGUCUAUGGAUAGAGCUAAAUAUCUGUAUUCAGAGAACUUCAGGAAGAAGAAGAGGAAAUGGAAGAGAUUUUUUUUUUCCACCCUGAAAUCUGUGACUUUUUGAAAUCCAUGUCUUUGGAGAACAAAAGCCAGAACAAAAAUAAGUUUAGACUUGAGGACAAGACACUAAUUUUCUGUCACAAUUUAAAGGCAGACAUGAAUGGAGAGGGAUUCAGGAUGUGACUAAGUGGGAGCCCAGGACCUCAGCAACAGCUGAUACAGAAGGAGUCAAAGAGAAAUUCUGAUUCUGUUCAUCUAUUAAUCUCCUGUGCAGCCCUGGUGACUCAACAGAUGCUUACCUCCUUAUUGAAUCUGGAUGGGAAUUUUGGUUAAUCAUGAAAUGGAAUUCAGUGUCGAACAAGACAAAGAUCCCUGUUCUCAUAGAAAGAUCUGGACAAUGACAAAGGAAGAAAUGAACAACUGAAAAUGGAUCCCAAGAGGCUGGGAACGUCUAAGUACGAGUACCUCAGAAGAAACACAGCCAGAUCAUGUGAGCAGUCCACAGAAUGGAAACUGACAUUCAGCCUGAAGCAGGACACUCUCUCAGCUACAGAAACUGAUAUCCUUGGCACAUGCUUCCACAAGGUGGAUUGUGGGUAAAGUGGCCUUCACACACUAUGAUGUUUGUGGGAUGUUGUUCCCUGAAUAAAUCUUAAAGGUUAACUGAGGAUGAUUUUGAUGAUAGGAAAAAUGACAAGGCUGCAGUGGG
ensembl:lncRNA